rnacentral:rRNA from 1 species
UGGGGAAUAUUGGACAAUGGGGGCAACCCUGAUCCAGCAAUGCCGCGUGUGUGAAGAAGGCCUUCGGGUUGUAAAGCUCUUUCAGCUGGGAAGAAACGGUAGUGGUUAAUAUCUGCUACUAAUGACGGUACCAGCAGAAGAAGCACCGGCUAACUACGUGCCAGCAGCCGCGGUAAUACGUAGGGUGCGAGCGUUAAUCGGAAUUACUGGGCGUAAAGCGUGCGCAGGCGGUUUUAUAAGCCAGAUGUGAAAUCCCCGGGCUCAACCUGGGAACUGCAUUUGGAACUGUAAGACUAGAGUGUAGCAGAGGGGGGUAGAAUUCCACGUGUAGCAGUGAAAUGCGUAGAUAUGUGGAGGAAUACCGAUGGCGAAGGCAGCCCCCUGGGCUAACACUGACGCUCAUGCACGAAAGCGUGGGGAGCAAACAGGAUUAGAUACCCUGGUAGUCCACGCCCUAAACGAUGUCAACUAGGUGUUGGGGAAGGAGACUUCUUUAGUACCGCAGCUAACGCGUGAAGUUGACCGCCUGGGGAGUACGGUCGCAAGAUUA